rnacentral:rRNA from 1 species
UGGGGAAUAUUGGACAAUGGGGGGAACCCUGAUCCAGCCAUGCCGCGUGUGUGAAGAAGGCCUUAUGGUUGUAAAGCACUUUAAGUUGGGAGGAAGGGCAGUAAGCGAAUACCUUGCUGUUUUGACGUUACCGACAGAAUAAGCACCGGCUAACUCUGUGCCAGCAGCCGCGGUAAUACAGAGGGUGCAAGCGUUAAUCGGAAUUACUGGGCGUAAAGCGCGCGUAGGUGGUUCGUUAAGUUGAAUGUGAAAGCCCCGGGCUCAACCUGGGAACUGCAUCCAAAACUGGCGGGCUAGAGUAGGGCAGAGGGUGGUGGAAUUUCCUGUGUAGCGGUGAAAUGCGUAGAUAUAGGAAGGAACACCAGUGGCGAAGGCGACCACCUGGGCUCAUACUGACACUGAGGUGCGAAAGCGUGGGGAGCAAACAGG